CCUACGUGGGACAGCAGUGGGGAAUAUUGCGCAAUGGGCGAAAGCCUGACUCAGCGACGCCGCGUGAGGGAUGAAGGUCUUCGGAUCGUAAACCUCUUUCAGCAGGGAAGAACGGUCACUGUGCUAAUCAGCAGUGAAUUGACGGUACCUGCAAACGAAGCACCGGCUACCUCCGUGCCAGCAGCCGCGGUAAUACGGAGGGUGCGAGCGUUAAUCGGAAUUACUGGGCGUAAAGCUCUCGUAGGCGGUAUGUCAAGUCAAGGGUGAAAUCCCCGCGCUCAACGUGGGAACUGCCUUUGAAACUGGCAAACUGGAGUGUGUGAGAGGAUAGUGGAAUUCCAGGUGUAGGAGUGAAAUCCGUAGAUAUCUGGAGGAACAUCAGUGGCGAAGGCGACUAUCUGGCACAUAACUGACGCUCAUGCACGAAAGUGUGGGUAUCGAACAGGAUUAGAUACCCGGGUAGUC
rnacentral:rRNA from 1 species